GGGGCACGACAGGGGAGCGCAACAGCGCUGAGAGUGCGGGCGACCGCAGACCCUCGUACCUGAUCCGGUUCGCACCGGCGUAGGGAGUCGAGUCUCACGGACC
rfam:Janibacter hoylei PVAS-1 Contig60, whole genome shotgun sequence.